CCUACGGGAGGCAGCAGUGAGGAAUAUUGGUCAAUGGCCGGAAGGCUGAACCAGCCAUGCCGCGUGAAGGUCAGUGCCCUAUGGGCGUUAAACUUCUUUUGUGCGGGAGCAAUAAUGGUCACGUGUGGCCAGACGAGAGUACCGUACGAAUAAGCAUCGGCUAACUCCGUGCCAGCAGCCGCGGUAAUACGGGGGAUGCAAGCGUUAUCCGGAUUUAUUGGGUUUAAAGGGUGCGUAGGCUGUGAGGUAAGUCAGCGGGGAAAUGCCCCCGCUCAACGGGGUGAAGUGCCAUUGAUACUGCCUUGCUGGAAUGCGGAUGCGGUGGGAGGAAUGUGUGGUGUAGCGGUGAAAUGCAUAGAUAUCAGACAGAACACCGAUUGCGAAGGCAUCUCACGGAGCCGCGAUUGACGCUGAUGCACGAAAGCGUGGGUAUCAAACAGGAUUAGAUACCCGGGUAGUC
rnacentral:rRNA from 1 species